rnacentral:pre_miRNA from 1 species
CCUCUUGUGUUAAGGUGCAUCUAGUGCAGUUAGUGAAGCAGCUUAGAAUCUACUGCCCUAAAUGCCCCUUCUGGCACAGGCU